UUUCAAAAUGCUCCAACUGUUGAAAUACCCUGGGAUUUCAACGAGGGCCAGGAUGUUUAUACCAGAAGGCGCUAUGACCGCGUGUUCUUGGCUAUUCUCUCCUCUUCGUUCGCCCUUCUUUCAGUCGUCUGCUGGAUUUCGAGGGGUUAAUGCGAGUCUGCAGAUUUACUAUUUGUAUUCCAGAAAUACGCGCGACCGUUGAAUUAUGGCGAAUAAAAGUAAAAUGCUCGACAUGAAUGAUCCGAAGGAUCUUGUGAUUAUAAGAAAUAUGCUUUUAUGUGACAGUGAUGACGAUGAGGACAUUAUUUUAGAUGAAAGCAUUACAGACGAA